GACGAACGCUGGCGGCGUGCUUAACACAUGCAAGUCGAACGGAAAGGCCCUGCUUUUGUGGGGUGCUCGAGUGGCGAACGGGUGAGUAACACGUGAGUAACCUGCCCUUGACUUUGGGAUAACUUCAGGAAACUGGGGCUAAUACCGGAUAGGAGCUCCUGCUGCAUGGUGGGGGUUGGAAAGUUUCGGCGGUUGGGGAUGGACUCGCGGCUUAUCAGCUUGUUGGUGGGGUAGUGGCUUACCAAGGCUUUGACGGGUAGCCGGCCUGAGAGGGUGACCGGGCGCCGUGUGCGCGAACACCGCCCCGUCGGCCUAGGGGGGGCGCAAGGGGGGCGGGUCGCACGAGGGGCGGAGGCCGUGUGAAGCGCCGCGGCGGGGGGGACGCGGGCCGUCGGGUUUAAACGCGCUUGCGGCUGUGAAGAGGCGGGAGUGACGGGAAGGGGAAAGGAAGCACAGGCUAACUGCCUGCCAGGGUCCGCUGUAAAGUGGGGAGCACCCGUUGGAUC
rnacentral:rRNA from 1 species